GAAACCCGGAUUAAUACCGCAUGACACUGCGACUACUUAAGUAGAUGCAGUUAAAUUUUCGGAGGUAAUAGAUGGGCAUGCGUAUGAUUAGUUAGUUGGUGAGGUAACGGCUCACCAAGACUGUGAUCAUUAGCGGGUCUGAGAGGAUGAUCCGCCACACUGGUACUGAGACACGGACCAGACUCCUACGGGAGGCAGCAGUGAGGAAUAUUGGUCAAUGGGGGCAACCCUGAACCAGCCAUGCCGCGUGCAGGAAGACGGCCUUCUGGGUUGUAAACUGCUUUUAUACAGGAGCAAAUAGUCCCAGCGGGGAAAGUUGAGAGUAUUGUAUGAAUAAGCACCGGCUAACUCCGUGCCAGCAGCCGCGGUAAUACGGAGGGUGCAAGCGUUGUCCGGAUUUAUUGGGUUUAAAGGGUGCGUAGGCGGUUUAUAAAGUCAGUGGUGAAAGUCUUCGGCUCAACCGGAGGAUUGCCAUUGAAACUUAUAAACUUGAGUACAGUAGAGGUAGGCGGAAUUUAUGAUGUA
rnacentral:rRNA from 1 species